CCUCUCCGCCAAUCUAAACUACAAUUACCCCUCCGCCAAUCUAAACUACAAUAACCCAUUCGCCAAUCCAAACUACAAUAACCCCUUCACGAAUCCAAACUACAAUAACUCCUCCACCAUUCCAAACUACAAUAACCUCUCUACCAAUACAAACUACAUAACCAUAACUUUCUUCAGAGACAUUUCCUCAUCAUGACAUUUCACCACCUCACUCUAAAGAUGUUGUGGUAGAAGAUAAGACUGGAGAUGUUGGGGUAGAAAUUGAGACUAAAGAUGCUGUUAAAGGGGCUAGUUCUAAAUAUUGGGAUGUAAAUGUUAUUAAUGAGGUGGGUCAUAUUUCAAACACAAACUCAUGUGUAUAAGACUUUGUUGGAAAAACAACUUCUGAUGGAACAUGGUUAAUACUUCAACGAAAUUCAGAUGGUCCCGCAGUAGGAUCAGUUGCUCGUUCGUUAUUAGGGUAUUUGGGUAAAGUUGUUAGAAUGUUUCAAAAUUUUCUCAUAAUGGAUAAUAGUUGGAAGGUGAUUCCAAAGAAUAGAAAAACAAAGUUUAAUGAGAAAAAGAUAAAGGUGUCAUUAAUAAAUAACUACAUAUUUUAAAAUUAAUUUUAUGGAAAAUAUUAUUUGCUUUGUCAACUAAAUUUUAUUUUUGUUAUUAGCUCCAUUUUGUUGUUGAUGGCGAAGAUAACAUAGAUUUCAUACUUUUUUCUAUUGAAAAGAGAUGGAGGGAUAGCCUGCAUCACUUGUUUUAAAAAAAUUAUACAUGGGAUCUCACAUUAGAGGAGAAUCCUGCAAAAUUUUUAAAAGGUAUUGUUAACGUAAAUGAUUGGGUUGUUUUUGUUCAAUAUAGACGAAGAAGAUAUACAGGUAAUAUUAGUGUUUUACUCGCAUAAUUGUAUUUAUAUAUAAAUGAGUAUUUCCUAAGUGUUUUAGUGCAUGUUUUUAUUUGUUAGCAAUAUAGAAAAUAGAAAAAAAAGCCAAAAAUACAGAAAAAUUGAAUAUUAUGCAUAUAGUCGUCUCUCAGUCGCUUGCAAGGAAGCGACAUGAGUUGGUAUGACUAAAUCUAUGUAUUAUUGAUUGUAUGCCUAAUAGUACAAAUAAUUAAUAUUUGUGAUUAUUUGUAGGAAAUGAGAGAUGGACGACCAUACAACAGAGGAAAAAUGUAUGUAGUUUGUCAUAAAACGUUUGACGGUUCUUUUGUCAAUGAAGAUGCAUACAACAAUAAUUACAAUUUUGUCUCCAACGGUCAGUGACGGGAGGCAAUGGACAAUCAGGUUUCAACUUUACCUAAAUCCAAUGACUGUCGUUGACAAAACCAACAAUAAUGAUUGUGCGCGUACUCAUAUACAUAUGUGGAGCUAAGAUAGGGAAAAUGUGAUGUUAAGUAUCAUGGAAAGGAAAAUAAAUACGACACUGUAUUUAGAAGCAAUAAGGCAACCCAUAUUAGGAAUCGUCAUCCGUUUUUCAUUGCCAUGCAUACCCAAGUGUUCUACUCGUAACACAUUCCUAAUUGUAGAGACAUUGUCAUAUAACAACUUGUAAAACAAGUGC